GACGAACGCUGGCGGCGUGCUUAACACAUGCAAGUCGAACGGUGAAGCGCCUUCCUUUUUGGUGGGUGUGGAUGAGUGGCGAACGGGUGAGUAACACGUGAGUAACCUGCCCCCUUCUUCUGGAUAACCGCAUGAAAGUGUGGCUAAUACGGGAUAUUCUGGGUCUGUCGCAUGAUGGGUCUGGGAAAGAUAUUGUUUCGGUGGGGGAUGGGCUCGCGGCCUAUCAGCUUGUUGGUGGGGUGAUGGCCUACCAAGGCGGUGACGGGUAGCCGGCCUGAGAGGGUGGACGGUCACACUGGGACUGAGACACGGCCCAGACUCCUACGGGAGGCAGCAGUGGGGAAUAGUGCACAAUGGGCGCAAGCCUGAUGCAGCGACGCCGCGUGAGGGAUGGAGGCCUUCGGGUUGUGAACCUCUUUCGCCAGUGAAGCAGGCCUGCCUUGUUUGUGGGUGGGUUGACGGUAGCUGGAUAAGAAGCGCCGGCUAACUACGUG
rnacentral:rRNA from 1 species